rnacentral:lncRNA from 1 species
CCCUAAACUAAAUUAUGACGAAAUAAAUGUGAAAUCUCAUCAAAUCCAUGGAUUUGCUUUUAACAAAUAUUACUUUGCCUAGUUUUCAAUUUUGAAAUAUAAAGAGUGUUCACUGGUAUAAAGGUUCCUUUUCAGGGCCACUAUUUCUAAUUUAAAAUUUUCAAUUUUCAAAGUAUGAGAUUCUUCAAAAAAUUGAUUUCUAGCAAAAUCUAAACAGGGGCUUACAGUCAGACGCUUGCGGCCUCAGAGAUCUUGGUGGAAAUGAAUCAUCAGAUGGGAUGAAUCCCAUCAAGAGUAGCAAAUAUUUUCUCACAUCAUCGGCCGCCAAAAGCAGAUUAUAGCGAAUAUAAAUAAAUUACAUUUGCAGAAAUAGAAUACAAUAUAAAUUGAGAUUAAAACAAAUUUAAAGUAAUUUGAAGAAAUUGGGGGCAUUAAAUAAUGAUGAUGAAGAGUCAGAAAUAGCUGGUAAUUGAAAUCAUGGAUUUUUUCAUUGGGAAUCCGUCUGAUUUAUUCAUCAUCCAGAAAUCACCAUCAUACCCAAUUAAUUAAACAAAACAAAUAUCAUAUAACCUAAAAUCAACAGAAUAUAUAUAUAAAUCAAAACAGAUGUGCCUAAUUAGGCAUUCGUGACCACGAACAGAAGAAACAUGAUUUAAUUAAUUAAAACUAGAAAACUUAUUAAGAAGGGUUUAAUUACGCAGAAGAACGAAGAGCAGCCCCGCAGAGAAAGAGACAGGAAGACGAUGUGUAAAAU